UGGGGAAUAUUGGGCAAUGGGCGAAAGCCUGACCCAGCUAUGCCGCGUGAGUGAUGAAGGCCUUAGGGUUGUAAAGCUCUUUUAAGUGGGAAGAUAAUGACGGUACCACUAGAAUAAGCCCCGGCUAACUUCGUGCCAGCAGCCGCGGUAAUACGAAGGGGGCAAGCGUUGCUCGGAUUUAUUGGGCGUAAAGGGUGUGUAGGUGGUUUGAUAAGUUAGGUGUGAAAGCCCUGGGCUUAACCCGGGAAUUGCACUUAAAACUAUCAGACUUGAAGAUCACAGAGGUAAGCAGAAUUUCCAGUGUAGAGGUGAAAUUCGUAGAUAUUGGAAAGAAUACCAACGGCGUAGGCAGCUUACUGGGUGAUACUUGACACUGAGGCACGAAAGCGUGGGGAGCAAA
rnacentral:rRNA from 1 species